rnacentral:rRNA from 1 species
GGUGGCUGCAUGGCUGUCGUCAGCUCGUGUCGUGAGAUGUUGGGUUAAGUCCCGGCAACGAGCGCAACCCCUCGCAUUCAGUUGCCAUCGGGUGAAGCCGGGCACUCUGGAAGGACUGCCAUCGACAAGAUGGAGGAAGGUGGGGACGACGUCAAGUCAUCAUGGCCCUUAUGUCCAGGGCGACACACGUGCUACAAUGGCCGGCACAACGGGAAGCGAGUUCGCGAGGACGAGCGGAUCCCUUAAAGCCGGUCGCAGUUCGGAUUGAAGUCUGCAACUCGACUUCAUGAAGCUGGAAUCGCUAGUAAUCGCAGAUCAGCCAAGCUGCGGUGAAUACGUUCCCGGGCCUU